UACAGAGGUCUCAAGCGUUGUUCGGAUUCAUUGGGCGUAAAGGGUGCGUAGGCGGGCGCGGUAAGUCGGGUGUGAAAUCUCGGAGCUUAACUCCGAAACUGCAUUCGAUACUGCCGUGCUUGAGGACUGGAGAGGAGACUGGAAUUUACGGUGUAGCGGUGAAAUGCGUAGAUAUCGUAAGGAAGACCAGUGGCGAAGGCGGGUCUCUGGACAGUUCCUGGACGCUGAGGCACGGAAGGUCAGGGGGAGCAAACGGGG
rnacentral:rRNA from 1 species